UUUUUACCAUUACUAAAUAAUUAUCAAAUAUAACUAGAUUCUACCAUAUAAGCAGCUACAUUCAAGAUAUGGUUUCUAACAUCUGAAAAAUAAAAUCACUAACUUUGACCUUAAUUAAGUGACCUUGACAAGGUUAAGCAAUCUAGAUCAUCCAAUAGUUUUAUUAUAUAGGUAUAAGUAACUGUAUCACAGUAAUUCAGUUGACUCUCUGUAUCUCCAACUCUUUUCAAAUUUAAUUUUAAAUAAAAUGAAAAAUCCAAAGUAUGAAGAACCAUUAUAUUCCAGAGAAAUAAUUGAUCUCUAUGACCUUUUUCCACAUUCCACUAAUUGCACUAUGGGAAACUGGUGAUGUAAAAUAUCUGACUGGUUCAAGUAUUAAGAUUUUCUUCCCGUUUUUUACAAGAAUAUCCCAUAUAUUUAGUUAAAAUUUAGGUCUGUACAAUCAAAAUAGAAUUUACAUACAUGUAACUUCACAAAAGUUCUUUCAGAAUUGAGAGAUAUAAAGAGAGCCAACUUGUGCUCUAAAUUGGUGUAGUUCUGGUGGUUUUCAUCAUGGAUAUGUAAUGGGAUUGAGUAAAAUAUUGGAGUACGCAAAUAACUGCAAUAAAUAUACACAGACAUACAAAUCAAGCAUUACAUAUAAUUAAGGUAAAGGAGUUGGUUUAACAAAAUAAAACUUACGACUAAGAUUAAUCACAUGUAUUCCGAAUUGUUCAUUACUUACGAUAAAUCUUAAUUGUAAGAUUUUUUGUGAAACUGACUCCAGGCUUUCAUACAUAAAAUAAAAUAUCAG
rnacentral:lncRNA from 1 species